CACGAGGUUGCAGACUGGCAUUAUGACGUCAUAAACGUUUGCCCAUUGCGUUCUUCAGCGACGUUGCUAAAGCAUUUUGUAGUGGACUUAUUGGAAUUCUAAUGGGUUGUUUGUUUUGAAUUGUGUUUUGAUGUAAAGGAUUUACAGCUAUAUGAUUGCUGUUCUGGAUUUUAAUUUAGGCCAGUCGGAACGAUAUCUGAAGUGGAGCACAACCAAAGAAAAAGAAAAAGAAAGAAUAAAAUAAAAUAAAGAGAAAAAAUGUGUACAUUUUCGUCUUCAAGUGAUGGUGAACAGCUCCAACCUCACCCCUACCGCAGUUGCAACGGGCUUGUAAUUUAAUGUUGGUUGUCAUAUCGUAUGCAUGUUAAAACAAGCAGAUUCUUCUAACAACAGUCCAGACGUACAGUUCCAAACUGUCGAAAGUUAUAAAACUAGAGAGAAACACUUUCUUUUUUUACUUCUUCUUCUUCUUCUUUUUCUCGUUAUUUUAAUUUACCAAAAAUUACAGCUGUGAAUACCA